GACGCCGUAGCAAUACGGAGUGGCAGACGGGUGAGUAACGCGUGGGAACAUACCCCUCGGUUCGGAAUAACUCAGGGAAACUUGAGCUAAUACCGGAUACGUCCGAGGUUUUAAUCGACCUUGGAGAAAGAUUUAUCGCCGGAGGAUUGGCCCGCGUCUGAUUAGCUUGUUGGUGAGGUAAUGGCUCACCAAGGCGACGAUCAGUAGCUGGUCUGAGAGGAUGAUCAGCCACAUUGGGACUGAGACACGGCCCAAACUCCUACGGGAGGCAGCAGUGGGGAAUAUUGGACAAUGGGCGAAAGCCUGAUCCAGCCAUGCCGCGUGAGUGAUGAAGGCCUUAGGGUUGUAAAGCUCUUUUACCCGGGAAGAUAAUGACGGUACCGGGAGAAUAAGCCCCGGCUAACUUCGUGCCAGCAGCCGCGGUAAUACGAAGGGGGCUAGCGUUGUUCGGAAUUACUGGGCGUAGAGCGCACGUAGGCGGAUCCUUAAGUCAGGGGUGAAAUCCCGAGGCUCAACCUCGGAACUGCCUUUGAUACUGGGGAUAUCGAGUCCGGGAGAGGUGAGUGGAACUGCGAGUGUAGAGGUGAAAUUCGUAGAUAUUCGCAAGAACACCAGUGGCGGAGGCGGCUCACUGGCCCGGUACUGACGCUGAGGUGCGAAAGCGUGGGGAGCAAACAGGAUUAGAUACCCUGGUAGUCCACGCCGUAUACGAUGGAUGCUAGCCGUUAGACAGCUUGCUGUUAGUGGCGCAGUUAACGCGUUAGCAUCCCGCCUGGGGAGUACGGUCGCUAGAUUAAACUCAAGGAAUUGAUGGGGG
rnacentral:rRNA from 1 species